CUAGUAGCUACAGCAAGCAGCAUCAGCAGAACCUGUGGGAAGUCAGACACCAGCCCACUUUUCCCACCCACCCAGACACUCUCCCUCUCUGGUCUGUACCUUCCGUGUGGCAGCUGGAAGAGAGGAUGGUGUUCGGAGGUCUGAAGAUGUAAGGCAGGUUCUUUCCCAGGUCUGCAAAGCUGGGGUGCCCGAGGAAUAACUGGAGAUGGGUCCCAUUUUGCCAUCAGCGCCAGGAAGCACUGCCUUACAUUUCUGCAUGCAGCUCAAACUCAGAAGCCCCCAAGCAAGCCGGGAUAUAGCCUCUUCAUUGGCUGAAGCUCCUCCGAGCAGGAUUUGCUGAGUUUUGGGGUACAUGUGAAGAACAUGCAAGGUUGUUGCAUAG